GAUGAACGCUGGCGGCGUGCCUAAUACAUGCAAGUCGAGCGAACGGACGAGAAGCUUGCUUCUCUGAUGUUAGCGGCGGACGGGUGAGUAACACGUGGAUAACCUACCUAUAAGACUGGGAUAACUUCGGGAAACCGGAGCUAAUACCGGAUAAUAUUAUGAACCGCAUGGUUCAAUAGUGAAAGACGGUCUUGCUGUCACUUAUAGAUGGAUCCGCGCUGCAUUAGCUAGUUGGUAAGGUAACGGCUUACCAAGGCAACGAUGCAUAGCCGACCUGAGAGGGUGAUCGGCCACACUGGAACUGAGACACGGUCCAGACUCCUACGGGAGGCAGCAGUAGGGAAUCUUCCGCAAUGGGCGAAAGCCUGACGGAGCAACGCCGCGUGAGUGAUGAAGGUCUUCGGAUCGUAAAACUCUGUUAUUAGGGAAGAACAUAUGUGUAAGUAACUGUGCACAUCUUGACGGUACCUAAUCAGAAAGCCACGGCUAACUACGUG
rnacentral:rRNA from 1 species